rnacentral:rRNA from 1 species
GAUGAACGCUGGCGGCGUGCCUAAUACAUGCAAGUCGAGCGAACAGACGAGGAGCUUGCUCCUCUGACGUUAGCGGCGGACGGGUGAGUAACACGUGGAUAACCUACCUAUAAGACUGGGAUAACUUCGGGAAACCGGAGCUAAUACCGGAUAAUAUAUUGAACCGCAUGGUUCAAUAGUGAAAGACGGUUUUGCUGUCACUUAUAGAUGGAUCCGCGCCGCAUUAGCUAGUUGGUAAGGUAAUGGCUUACCAAGGCGACGAUGCGUAGCCGACCUGAGAGGGUGAUCGGUCACACUGGAACUGAGACACGGUCCAGACUCCUACGGGAGGCAGCAGUAGGGAAUCUUCCGCAAUGGGCGAAAGCCUGACGGAGCAACGCCGCGUGAGUGAUGAAGGUCUUCGGAUCGUAAAACUCUGUUAUUAGGGAAGAACAAAUGUGUAAGUAACUAUGCACGUCUUGACGGUACCUAAUCAGAAAGCCACGGCUAACUACGUG